UCCCUUGUCUGUUCUUACAAACACGUGCCCCGAAGGACAAUUCUGAAAUCCCCACGUCCCAGUGGAAAGGGAACGGGAAGGAAUAGACGGCGGGGGAGAGGGGAGAAAAGAAUCGGUGGGUCCUGUGCUCCCCGGGACAAACGGCUCCCGCUCGGCGCACCUGGCCCCGCUGUCUCCGUGGGCCGCAGCUCCGAUCGCUGCCCCGCUCCCACCGCUCUCCUCCCCCCGCACCCAGCCAGGAGCCGGCGAGAGCCCGAGCGGCACCGGCGCAGGGCUGAGCCCCGGGGCGGAGCUGGCGGCGGGGGAGGGCAGAGCGAAGGAGAGAAGCGGCGCUGGCGGAGCAGAGAGCCGGGGCUGAGGGGGCAGCGAGGCUCGGCCGGCGCCAUGCGGCGGUGCCGGGGCGCGGGGCUGGCGGCGCUGGGCGCGCUGCUGCUCGUGGCUGUGGCCAGAGCCCAGGUACAGCAGGAGCCAUUCCUGGAGACCGACGAGGGCACUGGAAUCAAUAUCAGCUGCUCACAUCCCCAAAUCCAGACUAGCGAAACUAUUUUCUGGUACCGUCAGCUCCCGGGCCGAGGACCCGAACUCCUCGUGAGCGUUCACAAAGGGGUCAGAGAGCUGCCGGACAUCUCAGGAAAGCUGUCGGUGUCGGCAGAUCGGCGAUGGAGCGCGCUGUGGCUCGGGCGGCCCCGGCGCGGGGACGCGGCCGUGUAUUACUGCGCGCUGGGCCACGGGCAGAGGAGCCGGGGCUGCGGCCGGGCACGAACCGCCGCGGGCGGGGCCGGGCGGGGCCGGCAGGGGCCGCUCCGCUCCCGGCUGACGCCGCUGGGCGGGACCGGCCCCGAGCCGAGGCUGGAACCCGCGGGACCCCGGCCGGGAGCGAACACGGGCCUGGCCUUCCAUGAGAGACCCCUCCGAGCACAGGGAUGCUGCCCUGCAAUGUGUACAAAACAAUUCUGAUGGACAGGAGCAUUUCAUUAGCUGUCAAGGGAAUCAGGAAAUGUAUUUCUGAGUCUAUUGGCAGCCAAAGAAAGGCUCAGAAGAUGUUGGCUCGUUGCUCGCUGACGAAGUCCUGCUGAAAUGACAAGGAAAAGGCUGGCACAGUCAGUGCCUUUUUGCCCACAUUUUACCUUCAGACUGCUCUCCUCAGUUCCAUCACAUCGCCGAGCUUCCCUGAAGAUUUCUGGGAAUAAAUCAGUAUCCAGAGUAGAGGAAGAUGUAACUAAAGAACUCCCACUGCACAUACACCAGUCCACAUUGUCACAAACACACCCAAAGAGUAACUCAUAGUCCUGCAUUUAUGAAGAGAUGUGUGCAAACCUAUUUCCAAAGCAGAUCCAAGCACUGACAAUUCUCCUUCUGGCACAUCCCCAUCGAUGUGCAAACACUCACACUCACUCCCAUUCCUGCUCCUGCACCCAAGUCUUUGCACGCACAUCUACGGGAACAUUCCUGACCAGAGAUGUGCACACAUAAAGCAAAUCCCAGGAUGUAUCUAUUCCCAAACACGCAUACACCUUCCCUUCUUCCCUCCUCAGCUCACCCUGAUGCUCAGCGGUUUUUGCCUCCUGAUGGGUCAGCACUGGGCUGCUGGUUUCAAUCCUGCCCUGUUAAAACUGCCUUCAGGAAAUUAUUCGGGCCUCGUUGGACAUCUUACCCUCUGUUCAG